rnacentral:rRNA from 1 species
UACGUAGGUGACCAGCGUUGUCCGGAUUUACUGGGCGUAAAGAGCGCGCAGGCGGUCGUUCAAGUCGAGUGUGAAAGCCCCCGGCUCAACUGGGGAGGGUCACUCGAUACUGAUCGACUUGAAGGCAGGAGAGGGAAGCGGAAUUCCCGGUGUAGUGGUGAAAUGCGUAGAUAUCGGGAGGAACACCAGUGGCGAAGGCGGCUUCCUGGCCUGUUCUUGACGCUGAGGCGCGAAAGCUAGGGGAGCAAACGGGAUUAGAA